GUGUCAGCAGCCGCGGUAAUACGGAGGGGGCCAGCGUUGUUCGGAAUCAUUGGGCGUAAAGGGCGCGUAGGCGGCCGAUCAAGUCCGACGUGAAAUUCCCCGGCUCAACCGGGGGCCUGCGUCGGAUACUGCUCGGCUCGAGUCCCGGAGAGGGUAGUGGAAUUCCCAGUGUAGCGGUGAAAUGCGUAGAUACUGGGAGGAACACCGGUGGCGAAGGCGGCUACCUGGACGGGUACUGACGCUGAGGCGCGAGAGCUAGGGGAGCAAACAGGAUUAGAUACCCUCGUAGUCC
rnacentral:rRNA from 1 species